UCUUGACUAGUAUAUCGGUUCAGUACACCCGCUUGUCAUCUCGCACAUGUAACCGUCUCCGCGGGAGAGCAGGGUUGGACUCCCUGGUCGAGAG